GGCAUCCGGAACUGUCAAGCUAGAGUGCAGGAGAGGAAGGUAGAAUUCCCGGUGUAGCGGUGAAAUGCGUAGAGAUCGGGAGGAAUACCAGUGGCGAAGGCGGCCUUCUGGACUGACACUGACACUGAGGUGCGAAAGCGUGGGUAGCAAACAGGAUUAGAUACCCUGGUAGUCCACGCCGUAAACGAUGUCGACCAGCCGUUGGGUGCCUAGCGCACUUUGUGGCGAAGUUAACGCGAUAAGUCGACCGCCUGGGGAGUACGGCCGCAAGGUUAAAACUCAAAUGAAUUGACGGGGGCCCGCACAAGCGGUGGAGCAUGUGGUUUAAUUCGAUGCAACGCGAAGAACCUUACCUACUCUUGACAUCCUGCGAAUUUGGUAGAGAUACCUUAGUGCCUUCGGGAACGCAGAGACAGGUGCUGCAUGGCUGUCGUCAGCUCGUGUUGUGAAAUGUUGGGUUAAGUCCCGUAACGAGCGCAACCCUUGUCCUUAUUUGCCAGCGCGUAAUGGCGGGAACUCUAAGGAGACUGCCGGUGACAAACCGGAGGAAGGUGGGGACGACGUCAAGUCAUCAUGGCCCUUACGAGUAGGGCUACACACGUGCUACAAUGGUCGGUACAAAGGGUUGCCAACUCGCGAGAGUGAGCCAAUCCCGAAAAGCCGAUCUCAGUCCGGAUCGGAGUCUGCAACUCGACUCCGUGAAGUCGGAAUCGCUAGUAAUCGUGGAUCAGAAUGCCACGGUGAAUACGUUCCCGGGCCUUGUACACACCGCCCGUCACACCAUGGGAGUGGACUGCACCAGAAGUGGUUAGCCUAACGCAAGAGGGCGA
rnacentral:rRNA from 1 species